rnacentral:misc_RNA from 1 species
AAUUAUCAACCUUGAAGGCUUUUGCUUUUCAAAGGCUUGGAUUUGAGGGCUUGCUGGCUUCCUUCAGUGGAUUGGUCUGCUCCCUUUAAAUGUAUUAGUGGGAUCUCUUGUGGACCGUCACUUGGUGUGAUAAUUAUCUACGCCGCUUGACUUUGAAGCAAAUCUUAUGGGAGCCUGCUUAUAACCGUCUCUUUUAUGGGACAACAUUCAUCUUAAU